rnacentral:rRNA from 1 species
CCUACGGGUGGCAGCAGUGGGGAAUAUUUCACAAUGGGGGAAACCCUGAUGCAGCGACGCCGCGUGAGUGAAGAAGUACUUCGUUAUGUAAAGCUCUUUCAGCAGGGAAGAAAAUGACGGCACCUGAGUAAGAAGCCACGGCUAACUACGUGCCAGCAGCCGCGGUAAUACGGAGGGGGCAAGCGUUAUCCGGAUUUACUGGGUGUAAAGGGAGCGUAGACGGCAGGGCAAGUCUGUAGUGAAAGGCGGGGGCUCAACCCCAGGACUGCUCUGGAAACUGUAAGGCUGGAGUGCAGGAGAGGUAAGUGGAAUUCGUAGUGUAGCGGUGAAAUGCGUAGAUAUUAGGAGGAACACCAGUGGCGAAGGCAGCUUACUGGACUGUAACUGACGUUGAGGCUCGAAAGCGUGGGGAGCAAACAGGAUUAGAUACCCGUGUAGUC